UCAAUUAAAGAAAUCUGCCUAAGUUAAUACCAAAUGCUAGACAGCCCUAAGCUAUUUUUUUUUUUUGGUUUUUUAAAGUUCGUACUCUUGUAGAAUUUCACAACCAAAAUAAUAUGUUUAUAGAGUUUGUUAAACAAAGUGGUGACAAUAGGUGGACAAUCUGUUUGUGAUUAACACUGCUGCAGGGCUCUGAUGCCAAUUGCCUGUAGUUAUUAAAGCUCUCCAGAGCUGGUGGGGAGGGUGUUUGGCUCUGUGGGACUGACAGAUGUUGGACAAGGAGCUUACACUGAAACUGGAGGAUCAGGAACACUCCACCAAGUCCAUCGCCUGCCUGACGGCCACCGCCUGCCUAACCGAGCCCUGGUAAACCCUAAACCAGAUCAGCCAUAAGGAAUAGUUUUGCCAACUGCUUUACACACUCUUCAUUUCAUAUGGAUUCUUAAGUGAAAGUGUGGAAUGGGUAACCCAGACACGUUGUUGGUGCAGGGAUCCUUUAAGAUCCAACUUGACAAGUUUGGGGACCAAUAAGCUAA